CUUCGUGACGAAGCGCGUGCUAAAGUGGAAAAUAAAGCCUGAGCUACGUGUAAGUCGCCCGAAGACGCCGGCUAAGCCGGCGUUUUUUA
rnacentral:sRNA from 1 species